AUGGCUCUUCGCAGCAAGCUUGAUGAUGUCAAGAAACUGGACUCCUCGGCCACAACAUACUUCAACAAACUCAAGGUCUUGGCGGAUACAGUAACCUCUAUCGGUCGACCAUUGAGUGAUGAGGAGUUUGCCGGCUAUGUGAUUAAGGGCCUUGAUGCUGACUACGACAACCUUGCCGAGGCCGUCCACAACGCCAAGCCGCCACUUCCGCCGCACGAGCUCUUCUCCCGGCUGCUCUUCACCGAGUAA
rnacentral:rRNA from 1 species